rnacentral:Y_RNA from 11 species
GGCUGGUCCGAUUGCAGUGGUACUUAUAAUUAAUUGAUCACAGUCAGUUACAGGUUUCUUUGUUCUUUAUCAGUGUAACGGCAUCAAUUGCCACUCGUAA